GUCUCAAAUCGGGCAGGAAUACCCGCCGAACUUAAGCAUAUCAUUAAGCGGAGGAAAAGAAACUAACUAGGAUUCCCUCAGUAGCGGCGAGCGAAGCGGGAAAAGCUCAAGAUUUUAAUCUGCGGGUUAUACCCGCAGAGCUGUAGUCUGGAAGGGCGCGAUCAGGAGGCACCCCUGGCCUAAGUCUCUUGGAACAGAGCACCAAAGAGGGUGAAAGUCCCGUGCCUGACCGGAGUGUGAGCCUUCCCUGCGAUGCGCCCUGGUCGAGUCGAGUUGCUUGGGAGUGCAGCUCAAAUAGGGUGGUAUACUUCAUCCAAAGCUAAAUAUGGGCAGGAGACCGAUAGCGAACAAGUACCGUGAGGGAAAGAUGAAAAGAACUUUGAAAAGAGGGUGAAAUAGUGCUUGAAACCGCUGGGAGGAAAGCGAAUGGAGCUAC
rnacentral:rRNA from 15 species